GGAUGUAGCUCAGUUGGUAGAGUCCUUACUUAACAUAUACGAAGUCCUGUGUUCCAUUCCCAGCAACACG
rnacentral:tRNA from 1 species